ACUCCUACGGGAGGCAGCAGUGGGGAAUUUUGGACAAUGGACGCAAGUCUGAUCCAGCCAUUCCGCGUGCAGGAUGAAGGCCCUCGGGUUGUAAACUGCUUUUGUACGGAACGAAAAGGUCUCUAUUAAUACUAGGGGCUCAUGACGGUACCGUAAGAAUAAGCACCGGCUAACUACGUGCCAGCAGCCGCGGUAAUAC
rnacentral:rRNA from 1 species